UACACAGUUCCCAGUCCAGAUCCUAAGGAGAAGAAAAGGCAGGUUAUAUGGUGAGCUAGCAGGAUAGAGAAUUCCCAUGAUGUUCUGUCAAAGGACUACACUUCAGGAAAAAUCAGCUGCUGAAAAUUGUUCCAGGAAGAGAGCAUUGUGCAUAGACCAUAUGUACAGGCUUAAAGAAUGGUAGAGGGAGAGAGACCUUCCAUCUUUAGCAUUCCCACUGUAUAGAAGAAUAUGGAAGAUCCACUCCUGCAAUCAUUUAUUUUUACAAAAGGAUCCAAAACUGAAACUCUUGAGUUCUUCAAUUAAUGCCUGAAGGAAGUCUUCCAUUUCUACCCAUACCUUUUAAAG